GGCCAGUAAUUCACCGAGACUGUCGUUAGCUGAAGCUAACAAGCUGAAGCUACAAUAAAAUCGUAUUCUACUGGCGUUCAUGAGUGUUGCCCAACGUGUUUAACCGGACGGCACGUCCGUGUAAAAGCACUCGGCAGUAAAAUUAA